rnacentral:lncRNA from 1 species
UCUUAGCCUCAAAGUACAGACAGAGAGAAAUAAACUCUCACGUAGUGGAUUCAAGAUCGGAGAAAAAAAACUGCUUAAAAUUUAAGCAACGCCACAGAGAAUAGGAAAAAUAAAUUCCUAUAUAAGCAUGCAUAUUAAAAGUAGUAGAAAAAUAAAUUCUACCUACUCCCCCUCAACAUAUGCAUAAACUUCACUCCCCCUCAAAACAUGCAUAUAACAUGAAACCAUCAUGCUAUACUAGAUGCUAUAGCAUUCUGCAUCACAUCAUGCACAACAGAUAUUACUCCCCCUUUUUAGCCAUAAAUUCUGACAAAUAAAGUCAGUAUCACACAGUAGGAGCAGAACUUCCACAGAGUUAUCAGAUCAUAGAGAAACAUAGAGUGCAGAGAGAAUCAGAGCAUAGGAACUCAUAAAGUGCAUAUGACAGACCAUCAGGGCAUAGAAAACCUGGAGUAUCGGACUCAAAGACAUGGAUUAUGCAUGUUACAAUCCAGAGAGCAUCAGGGCGUAGCCCAACAAAUUAAAAUCCAAAAGGACAUGCAAAUAAAGCAUAAGCAGGUCACAUAGAAGGACUUGCGUCAGAGUCCUCCUCCNNNNNNNCAGUUGACUGAUUGACAGAUGAUGCAGCACAGUCUGCAGCAUGUGUACCCUCAAACAGUCUAAAAUCAAAAGAUAAAUCACAACCUCUCUUACUAGAAACACCAGCCUCAGUACAAAUGCCAGGAUGUUGAACCAAAACAAUAUCACACAUCAGUGUAGGGAAGGCUAUAGGCAUCUUCACAACAAAUGACUUAAUAUCCAGAACAGUUUCAUCAAGAAUAUAAGAACCAAAGUCAAAAGGUGAUCUUGUCCCUACAACAUAUAUAAACCGAGCCAAACAUGUAGCCAGAGUAUUGGAAUGAGUAGUUGGAGCACAGUUGCAGUUUUCAUCAAUCCAGUUGCAUUAAUUAAAUCAACAAGCUUUUGGCAUUGUAAAAAAAAUCUUCACUUAAAUUCCUUUCCACAGCAAGCUCCUCAAAAGCUUCUUCUUUGGCUCAGAGGGCCCAGUAAUCUUACUCCACUGUCUUUUAAGACUAUAGAUUUUCUUUUCCUUGGCAGUCUUGACAGGAACAUUAGAAACAACUACACCUUUACCAGCAUUGCUCCUUAACCUCCUAGUACUAGAAGCAGGAUUCCUCUCAGUAAGGUUGAGAUUGUCCACAUAAAUAACAUUUGAAUCUUUCUCAGCAGAUUCAUCAACAUUCAAAGGAACAAACAUAGUUUUACCACUAUCAUCAACAUAAGGGAUCACAUAGAUAUCAUGAACAAAAACAUUAUCAGUAG